rnacentral:rRNA from 1 species
CCUACGGGUGGCAGCAGUGGGGGAUAUUGCACAAUGGGGGAAACCCUGAUGCAGCGACGCCGCGUGUGGGAAGACGGUCUUCUGGAUUGUAAACCACUGUCCCCAGGGACGAAAAUGACGGUACCUGGGGAGGAAGCUCCGGCGAACUACGUGCCAGCAGCCGCGGUAAGACGUAGGGAGCAAGCGUUGUCCGGAAUUACUGGGUGUAAAGGGAGCGUAGGCGGGGAUGCAAGUUGGGUGUCAAAACGAUCGGCUCAACCGAUAGUCGCACUCAAAACUGCAGCUCUUGAGUGAAGUAGAGGCAGGCGGAAUUCGUAGUGUAGCGGUGAAAUGCGUAGAUAUCAGGAGGAACACCAGUGGCGAAGGCGGCCUGCCGGGGUUUUACUGACGCUGAGGCUCGAAAGUGUGGGGAGCGAACAGGAUUAGAGACCCCAGUAGUC